UGAGGAAUUUUGCGCAAUGGGGGAAACCCUGACGCAGCAACGCCGUGUGAGUGAUGAAGGCCUUCGGGUCGUAAAGCUCUGUCAAGUGGGAAGAAUCUGCUCUGUGAUAAUACCACGGGGCACUGACGGUACCACUGAAGGAAGCACCGGCUAACUCCGUGCCAGCAGCCGCGGUAAUACGGGGGGUGCUAGCGUUAUUCGGAAUCAUUGGGCGUAAAGGGCGCGUAGGCGGUCUCUUAAGUCAGAUGUGAAAGCCCUCGGCUUAACCGGGGAAGUGCAUUUGAUACUAAGAGACUUGAGUAUGGGAGAGGGAAGCGGAAUUCCUGGUGUAGCGGUGAAAUGCGUAGAUAUCAGGAGGAACACCGGUGGCGAAGGCGGCUUCCUGGACCAAUACUGACGCUGAGGCGCGAAGGCGUGGGGAGCAAACAGGAUUAGAUACCCUGGUAGUCCACGCAGUAAACGGUGAACACUAGGUGUAGCGGGUAUUGACCCCUGCUGUGCCGAAGCUAACGCAUUAAGUGUUCCGCCUGGGAAGUACGGCCGCAAGGUUG
rnacentral:rRNA from 1 species